CUGGCUCAGGACGAACGCUGGCGGCGUGCUUAACACAUGCAAGUCGAACGGAAAGGCCUGCAGCUUGCUGCGGGUACUCGAGUGGCGAACGGGUGAGUAACACGUGGGUGAUCUGCCUUGCACUUCGGGAUAAGCUUGGGAAACUGGGUCUAAUACCGGAUAGGACAGCUGUUUAGUGUCAGUUGUGGAAAGUUUUUUCGGUGCAAGAUGAGCUCGCGGCCUAUCAGCUUGUUGGUGGGGUAAUGGCCUACCAAGGCGUCGACGGGUAGCCGGCCUGAGAGGGUGUACGGCCACAUUGGGACUGAGAUACGGCCCAGACUCCUACGGGAGGCAGCAGUGGGGAAUAUUGCACAAUGGGCGGAAGCCUGAUGCAGCGACGCCGCGUGGGGGAUGAAGGCCUUCGGGUUGUAAACUCCUUUCGACAGGGACGAAGCUUUUGUGACGGUACCUGUAUAAGAAGCACCGGCUAACUACGUGCCAGCAGCCGCGGUAAUACGUAGGGUGCGAGCGUUGUCCGGAAUUACUGGGCGUAAAGAGCUCGUAGGUGGUUUGUCGCGUCGUCUGUGAAAUUCCGGGGCUUAACUCCGGGCGUGCAGGCGAUACGGGCUGACUUGAGUGCUGUAGGGGAGACUGGAAUUCCUGGUGUAGCGGUGAAAUGCGCAGAUAUCAGGAGGAACACCGAUGGCGAAGGCAGGUCUCUGGGCAGUAACUGACGCUGAGGAGCGAAAGCAUGGGUAGCGAACAGGAUUAGAUACCCUGGUAGUCCAUGCCGUAAACGGUGGGCGCUAGGUGUAGGGGGCUUCCACGUCUUCUGUGCCGUAGCUAACGCAUUAAGCGCCCCGCCUGGGGAGUACGGCCGCAAGGCUAAAACUCAAAGGAAUUGACGGGGGCCCGCACAAGCGGCGGAGCAUGUGGAUUAAUUCGAUGCAACGCGAAGAACCUUACCUGGGCUUGACAUAUACAAGACAGGCGUAGAGAUACGUCCUCCCUUGUGGUUUGUAUACAGGUGGUGCAUGGUUGUCGUCAGCUCGUGUCGUGAGAUGUUGGGUUAAGUCCCGCAACGAGCGCAACCCUUGUCUUAUGUUGCCAGCAUUUGGUUGGGGACUCAUGAGAGACUGCCGGGGUCAACUCGGAGGAAGGUGGGGAUGACGUCAAAUCAUCAUGCCCCUUAUGUCCAGGG
rnacentral:rRNA from 1 species